rnacentral:lncRNA from 1 species
GGGGGGCUGCCGGCGCCGUGCGGGAAACACAUUUUGCUGGUACCGGUUGCAAGUGUCCAUUUCCCAUCGGUUUAAAUGAAGAAACGAUGAAAGCCCUAGUGCUGCCAGACCCCUUAGUCCGCAAGGGCACUACUUGUGGGAGAGGGUGGGGUCCCUGACUGCCUAGAACGCGCCACCGAGAUGGCGGCGGCCAGUGUGUAGGGUCAUCGGGUAGGGUGUGCGGGUGUGUCCUUCCCGGCCUCUUCCCGGACCCUGACGCACCUGCAAGCUUCUGAGUCAGGACAGAUGGCCUGAGAGAGCACAGAGGUGUCUGAAAGAGGGUAAACCAUGGAAGAGGGAUUCUGAAACUCCAGUCUAAACAUAAGCACUUUAAUGAGUCUUUUGUUUGUUGUGUUUUACCUACAGGACAGUGUAGUAACCUGAAAGUCCCAGAAGUGCCAGUAGCAGACUGAUUUAUAUCUGAGUUAUCUUUCUGGAGGAAUAUGUCACAUUACUAAAAUGGGUGAUGGGAAGCAUUAUUAUGUCUCUCCCGAAAACGCCAGCCUCACCGUUAAACUCCCCAGCAUCUUAUGACCCUAGGAAGUCAAAAGUAUCUGCGGUCAAGGAGACAAGAGCCAAAGAGAUUAACAGACACUUUAAUUCCUGAAGAAUUUCAUAUCGGGUCAAGUACAGGAGCUUCAGGUUUGGAGAGCUAUGAUGACAAAUAUACUACUCUUCUCACGGAUAGUGAAAACAGGCUAUUGCUCUUCCCAUCCAUGAUUGUAGAAGAGUACCAUGACUUAUAUACAUUACAAAGAGGAAGGAUGGAGGCUGAUAUUAAACAGUUAAUUGAAGAAAGAGAUAUCUGGAGCUCAGCCACAUAUAAGUUGGCUCUAAAGGUAAUUGAAAGAAAUGGAGUCAUAUUGGCCAAAAGGCUCUUCCUCAAUGAAAAAGGCUGGAAUAAAUACACUAAGCAUUUCAUCACAGUGCUGUCAAACAAGGACACUGCAGACUUCACAUUGUUGCAGAAAUUGACACACAAAUGGAGAAACUUACUGAAUAAAUUUAAACAGGAUGUUGAACAAACAGAAGAGCCUACAAGGGAGAAAUUGCAAAUUGUUAAGGAUGGCCUUAUGAAAUGGCAGCAGUUCUAUGAAAAUAAGUGAGUCUCUAAGAAUCCUCUUUUUCUGAUUAUAGCAUGUCUAAAUAACUCAGUACAGUUCUCAUUCUGUCUUUCUCUGUCCACACCCCUCCUUCUACCUUACAAUUA